GCAAUGUGGGGUGCUUCUUUUGUUGAGCAAUAACUCUCUAACCCUCUUCUUAAUCAACUAGUAAAGUGGCCCGCCCGGUGUGCGGGCUAGAAUUUUAUAAAGUUUUAUCAGUAGAACACAUUAUUUGAUUGGUCUAAAGAAAAAUCGAAUGAAAUGUGACCGCAUUCACAAAUCACACAUAUGGGCAUUUUUUAAACAUAGUUUUUUCGAGGUAUAUUUUGUUUUCCCAUCGAUAUAUAAAUAUAUAUAAUCAUGUACUUGCUUGUUAUGGAUACUAUGCUAACUUUUCACAAUUAUUCCUAGGGCGCAAUUUAUAUAUGUAGCAUUUCCCAUAUGUAUAUUUGCUAUUUUUGCUCCCGCCGCCGUCCACAUUGGUUAAAUUAAUUCAAUGAUAUAAUUUUUGCUCUCGCAACAGUCGGUCACGUUGGUUAAAAUUAUGGUCAAACUUGAAUCUCGAAAAGCGCGGACGCACUACAUUAUGAAAUGGAGGGAGCAUUAGUCAAUUAUGUCCCACCUUCUCUUUUCAAUUGACAUUGAACAUAUUUUUAUUUUUUGAAUUAGAUAUACUCCCCCGAUCCUAAAAUAAGCGUCUUAAUUUUAGUACAACAUUUAUAUACUAAAAUGGUUCGUGGUGGCACUUUCUUGUUUGAUAGACAUUUGUUUCUUUAGUGGUGUUUGAUAGACAUUUGUUUCUUUAGUGGUGUUUGAUAGACAUUUGAUUGAGUUAAGUUAAACACGUACUACACCGUAAGUAGUACCAUUGUUGUCUAAUCUUUUCACCUAAGCAAAGUUCCAUCUAACAACUAUCCAGAUUAUCAACACGUGGAGUGGCUACAUGUACAUAAAAAAUCGUAGUGCGGCUACAGGUUCCCACCAACAUGAACCUUCAUUUUGUCCUUUCUCGAGUGUUCUUGUCUUCUCCCUUUCCAAAAAAAGUCCUCUUGAACUUGGAACACCGUGGGGAAAAAAGUCUUCUUUUCUUCUCGGGAGCUCCCAGCCAUGUAAAAGGAUGAGCCAGCCUGGGUCCGCCGCAUCGCAUAUGUGAGGAUCACCUCGAAGCUCCCCUCGGUCUGCUCUCAUACUUCGUGGUCCUCACACACCUCGUGGCUGGGACUGCGCAUAGUUUGGCUGCCCGCGUGCCUCGUCGAUCUCCCGGGCCGUCAACGGGUAGCAGGGCCCUGAUGUCAGCUGCCUGAGGGAGGAUUCGAGCUCGUCGAACACGACGGCCGUCGGCUUCCAUUGAUGCGAUGAAGGUGUGGAUCUCGUUCCCCUUAGCUCUUGCAGAUUGUGGUUGUGGGGAUCCUGGGGGUGUUAUCUCCGUCCCCGAGCGCCGGACCGGAGGCGUCGUUGCUGUCCCCAAGCGAGCACGCUGACGCAUCGUCUUCAUCCUCGACAGCCACAACCCCGCUUCAGCAUCGCAUUCUUCCACCUUCAGUACUUAUCCGGAGUAGUUGACCAUCUCCGUCCUGUCAUAUCUUGUUAUCAUAGGUAAGUGAGUUAUUAUUUUGAAGGUAGUCUGCAGUGUACUUUUUUCCUUCAUGUACCUAUGAUCAUAUAUAAUGUAUAAAAGGCAGUGUUAUCCAUCUAGUUCACUGCGAUCGAGAUGGCCUCUACCCUGGCGAAAGUUCAAGCCAACACCCAUCUACUUGCAUGUGCUCUUUUUGAAAAAUCUUUGUUUCUAUCUGACCAAUUCCUUUGGUUUGUACCAAUAAUUGUACUGUAUACAUGCACUUGGCCUGAGUGCAUGGACCACUCUUAUGUAGUAAAUUCCCAAAUAGACAAUGGAUAAUGGUACAUUAGAGUAUAAAAUUGAUAAUGCAUGAUUAGUUGACUGAAAUCGAUUCUGGCUCUCCAUGUUUGAUGCUGUGAAGCAGAAUAUGUGUAAAGCACUACCGAGUUUUUCUAUCCUGGCCAUUUAGUCCUGCUGUACAAUGGAGAUUCCAACAGUCAUACAGUCCAUUGUUGCUGCUAGUUAGUAGGUUAAUAGUGUAGCCCCCCUUAAAAAUUAGUUCUUUUGGUUAUUAGCAGCUUCAUUCCUUUCUGUAUUAUAGUUUGAGCACUUCUUUAGAUAGCAAAUUGUUUGGUCUCAUUUAUUUGCUGUUUCUACCAAGUGUUUGUCCUCAUGUUUGUAGUCAUUCAUUGAAUAUGAAGAGCAAAAAAGUGAAAGUCCGAGUUGGAGAGGUGCAGGUCUAUCAUAAGGAUGUGUUCAUUUUCCGGAAUGGUUAUGCGGAGCAGACAUGUUACAAAUGUACAUCUUCAAUUGAGUACGCGUCCUUUUCACAUCUAUUGUUUUUUUACUAUGAUUUUCACAUCUAUUGUUAUUAUAAACAAAAGCCUAUUUUUUAAUUCUUUGAGGCUAAAAUAAAUCUAAGUACAUAUGAGAAAGGAAGAAGUAAUAUCAAUAGAAUUUGCAGAAUUAAAUAUUAAGAUGAGUAACAUAUGCAAAAUAAAUCAAUAGUGAGAACUCUGAACUUUUAUUUUUUUGAUAAAUUUUGUAGUGACAAUUAUGAUCGUUUGUUUGUGCAAAACCUCCAUUAACCAUACUUCCAAAAAAAUUUGCCCAUAGAGUGAUCCCUAUCUUCUCACAACUGAAAGAAUUUAACCAUGUAAAAGUAAUGUAAAAAGUUAUAUACAUAACUUUAAAAUUGCUUACAUAAUUUGAAUAACUUACUCUAGCAAAAGAACAUAAAUCUCGCUGAUGUUUGAAGUUUGCUGUCAUGGUGAAGACGAUUAAGCCGGGCUGGUGGUCAGCUGAGUGGGCACAUGUCUUAGAAUAACAGAGGGUAAUAGUUCAAUCCUCCAAAAUUUUAGAACUGGCCUGGUCCAAAACCUCAGUUGUAGAAAUUCUUUCGAAUUUAUAGAGGAGAAAAACUAAAGGACUUGUUUGUGACGUCUUUCGGGAGGUGCCGUUAGUAGGAGAGGAGUUUCAGUGUUCAGCCAAGGUUGCUUGACGGUGUUCUGUGGACUAUUCUUUAUCAGUUGCAGGACCUAAUUUAUUCUUCCCUUCAAUUGUAUAUUUGCAUGGUGUGAACUUUGACAAUGAGACAAGCAGAAUCACAUGAAGAAUGCUUUACCCUCAGUCCAAAAGGUUUAUCGCUGUUAGUUUCUAGCAGAUCGGGUGUAACCACGAAGUGAGAUGCAUUUUAAUUAUGUAGUUUUUAUAUAAAAGUUUAUCUGGCUAUAUUAUGUACUUCAUAAGCAGACAAUCAAGAUACCGUAGAAAAUAGAAAGGAGGCAACAACCACCAAUGUUUAAGAUCAAGAAAACAGUGCUUAUUGUGUCACAAGCGAACACUGCUUGUUUUCUCCAUGUCAUCAUGCAGACCUUGAGCCAAAGAGGUCAAUUAUAAUUUUGAUAUUUGUCAGGUGACUGUGAAAUUACUAUUCCUAUGUACUCCCUCCGUUCCAAAAUAGAUGACCCAACAUUGUACUAACUUUGUACUAAAGUUAGUAUAAAGUUGAGUCAUCUAUUUUGGAACGGAGGGAGUAGUAGAUACUAAAAGUUAUCUGAUUUGAGCACUAAGAUAUGUGCAGGUGCAAAAGGAUUAGAAGAUGGUUAUGGGACAACCGUGAUUGUUGACCAGAAAAUAGCUAUUCCGAAGUUUGAUUAAGAAAGGCACAGUAAUCAACAUUUUGGCUAGAAAAUUCUAUUGGCUGAGAUGUUCAUGGACACUAAUGGCCAGGAACCAAUACUUUAUUGUCUGAUGCAUAUUCUCCUUUCAUGUACCAUGCAUGUGACAAAAGAAUCAACUUGAUGAUGCUUAUGUAUAUUUUGGCAUCGAGUAUCAA